GAUGAACGCUGGCGGCGUGCCUAAUACAUGCAAGUCGAGCGAACGGACGCGACGCUUGCUUCUCUGAUGUUAGCGGCGGACGGGUGAGUAACACGUGGAUCACCUACCUAUAAGACUGGGAUCACUUCGGGACACCGGAGCUAAUACCGGAUAAUAUUUUGAUCCGCAUGGUUCAAAAGUGAAAGACGGUCUUGCUGUCACUUCUAGAUGCAUCCGCGCUGCAUUAGCUAGUUGGUAAGGUAACGGCUUACCAAGGCAACGAUGCAUAGCCGACCUGAGAGGGUGAUCGGCCACACUGGAACUGGAACACGGUCCAGACUCCUGCGGGAGGGAGCAGUAUGGUAUCUUCCGCAGUGGGCGAAAACCUGACGGAGCAACGCCGCGUGAGUGAUGAAAGUCUUCGGAGCGUAAAACUCUGUUAUGAGGGAAGAACAUAUGUGGAAGGAACUGUGCACAGCUUGACGGUACCGAAUCAGAAAGCCACGGCUAACUACGUG
rnacentral:rRNA from 1 species